AAAGCUGGAUCCAAGUCGCCACCGCCUAGGUCGUACCGUUUCAGUAGGUUUUGCGUCUACCCUUUCUUUGUUCCUUUUUUGGUUCUUCUAAAAGAGGAAAGCCAAAAAAUUUCAGAUGAGUUUUCUAAGAGGGAGUUCAGAAUUUUUGCGAGCCUUGGAAAUCUGGGACAAGACUUUUCUUUCAAGAAUGAAGUUUAAAAUUCAUUUCUGCGAUGGACUAUCAACUUUUUGGAUAAGCUUUCAAAAAACUCAGAGGAGCUUCCAUUUUUUUUUAGGUUUCAAAAUUUUAGGGACAAACUUUCGUUCAGUUGAGAACAACUUUUAAAUUUUUUGAGAUUGGACGUGCUGAGCUGCUGUUUUUUCCUUUUCUUUUUGAGGGACGUGCUGGGCUGCUUCGUCAAACGGUGAGCCAGUAAGGCACCAGAGAGUCUUUUCGAGAAUUUUUGCCUAUUUAUAAUGUUUGUCCAACUCUAAACACUAUAAAUAUGCCUGUGUUGCCACAAAUUUAUGUUCUUAUAAUACUAUUUGUCCUCCACAGGCCAUAAUAAUGAGUUGUGCAAGUGCAGAGAGCGAAUAAUUGUUUUCAUGGUUACCUUUUUUUAUGUGAAAAGUACGUAAUUAAUAGGUAAAAGUUGAAUCUCCCUUUCAACUUUGGAUCCAUCUUUCAGACCAGUGCCGACAGCACCCACUUUGGAUCCAUCUUCAAAGAGCGCCCUGGUCGAUUGAUCUCUGGGUGCAGCUGCACCAUGUCCAGCUCUCUGAUCGUGACGACACGUUGAUUUGGAAGUUUGAUGGCUCGGGGUCCUACUGAUCCAAUUCUUGGGCAGCAUCACUUCUCCAAUGUCUGUUCUCGUGUGGCGGACGAGGAUCCGGCCGAAGCUGAAAUUCCAUGCCUGGCU
rnacentral:lncRNA from 1 species